ACUUCCUCAAGCACCAGGCGCCGCCUGUCUCUAUCUCCUACAGCAACAAGUCCCAGAACCUGGACGGCCAGUUCAAGCUCGAGGCCGAGAGGGCGGCGCACUUCGAGGGCUGGGUGAGGUCCUCCCUGGGGAACCUCACCUACUUCCUGGACCAGCAGUACAAGUUCAGGAGCAGCAUCUCCAUCCAGAACAACGGGAACACCAAGGAGGUGUACUCCAAGGCCAAGUUCAAGACGGACCUGAGGAUCGAAGACGCCCCGAACGUGAUCCUCGCCAGGCUCAACCACAAGGCCAAGUACCCCAUCACCAUCUACACCGCCGCCGGGCCCGGCCAGCAGGGGACCUACGCAAGAACAAACGUCUCCCACACGAUGUACGAGAAGGGCGC
rnacentral:lncRNA from 1 species